rnacentral:misc_RNA from 1 species
UCCGGCUUAACGCCGGCAGUCUACCUAGAGUGCCCAACUGAAUGGUGGCAACUAAGUACGAGGGUUGCGCUCGUUGCGGGACUUAACCCAACACCUCACGGCACGAGCUGACGACAGCCAUGCAGCACCUGUCUCUCGGUUCCCUUGCGGGCACCCCGCCAUCUCUGGCAGCUUCCGAGGAUGUCAAGACCAGGUAAGGUUCUGCGCGUUGCAUCGAAUUAAGCCAC